rnacentral:lncRNA from 1 species
GAGUAACAGACUAGCUAGAGACAAUGAAUUAAGGGAAAAUGACAAAGAACAGCUCAAAGCAAUUUCUACACGAGAUCCUCUCUCUGAAAUCACUGCGCAGGAGAAAGAUUUUCUAUGGACCACACUAUAUUCUGUCUGUUAAAUGGAAUUCUAGAGAUGAAGUAGCCCAGCACAGAUGUAUUGCUUGGUAAAAGAUUGGCCUCCAAUCAAACCUGAACAGGCUAUGGAACUUCUGGACUGUAAUUACCCAGAUCCUAUGGUUCGAAGUUUUGCUGUUCAGUGCUUGGAAAAAUAUUUAACAGAUAACAAACUUUCUCAGUAUUUAAUUCAGCUAGUACAAGGUCCUAAAAUAUGAACAAUAUUUGGAUAACUUGCUUGUGAGAUUUUUACUGAAGAAAGCAUUGACUAAUCAAAGGAUUGGGCACUUUUUCUUUUGGCAUUUAAAUCUGAGAUGCACAAUAAAACACUUAGCCAGAGGUUUGGCCUGCUUUUGGAGUCCUAUUGUCGUGCAUGUGGGAUGUAUUUGAAGCACCUGAAUAGGCAAGUCGAGGCAAUGGAAAAGCUCAUUAACUUAACUGACAUUGUCAAACAGGAGAAGAAGGAUGAAACACAAAAGU